rnacentral:lncRNA from 1 species
AAAUUGGUCAAAGGAUGACUUUUACCAAAUUAAUAUCAUUCAUUCAUUUUGGGAGAUGGAAUGUACAUUCCAUCAAUCCCCUAAAUCCAAUGAUAUUAAUUUGACAAAGUCAAAUCAACCUUGACCAAGGCCCAACAACAAAUAAGUGUAACACCCCAAAAUUUGCCCUUCUCAUUCAUGCAUUCAUUUAGCAUUUCAUAUUGCAUUUCAUCAUGUCAAUCAGAAUUAGAUCCGAA